CCUACGGGCGGCAGCAGUGGGGAAUAUUGGACAAUGGGCGAAAGCCUGAUCCAGCCAUGCCGCGUGUGUGAAGAAGGCCUUCGGGUUGUAAAGCACUUUCAGUGGGGAAGAAAGCCUUGGGGCUAAUACCCUCGAGGAAGGACAUUACCCACAGAAGAAGCACCGGCUAACUCCGUGCCAGCAGCCGCGGUAAUACGGAGGGUGCGAGCGUUAAUCGGAAUUACUGGGCGUAAAGCGCGCGUAGGCGGUCUGAUAAGCCGGUUGUGAAAGCCCCGGGCUCAACCUGGGAACGGCAUCCGGAACUGUCAGGCUAGAGUGCAGGAGAGGAAGGUAGAAUUCCCGGUGUAGCGGUGAAAUGCGUAGAGAUCGGGAGGAAUACCAGUGGCGAAGGCGGCCUUCUGGACUGACACUGACGCUGAGGUGCGAAAGCGUGGGUAGCAAACAGGAUUAGAUACCCGAGUAGUC
rnacentral:rRNA from 1 species